AUGACCAUUGGAUUGAGUCAAGAGACACCAUGGAAGGGAGAAGAGGAGCCUGAGAGAUUUCUGGAACUUCUUAGAGUUAUAGCAGCUUCACAUAUGGGGAAACAGGCUGGGAGCUCUUCAGCAUGGUGUUUGCAGUUCCUGGAAGACAUGCUAACAAAUAAUGAAACACAUGUAAAAGGACAUCAAUAGCAAGGACUAUUCCUGAUUUCCAGCUCUGAUGUGCAUUUCA
rnacentral:lncRNA from 1 species